rnacentral:rRNA from 1 species
UGGGGGCUUUUUUGGGACAAUGCCGCGUCAAGCCCUGUUUCCAGGCACAUGCCCCGCGUGAAGGUGAUGAAGGCCCUAGGGUUGUAAAGCUCUUUUGUCAGGGAAGAUAAUGACAGUACCUGUGAAAAAAAGCCCCGGCUAACUCCGUGCCACCAGCCGCGGUAAUACGGAGGGGGUUAGCGUUGUUCGGAAUUACUGGGCGUAAAGCGCACGUAUGCGGUUUAUAAAGUC